rnacentral:misc_RNA from 1 species
CGAAAUGCGAUAAGUAAUGUGAAUUGCAGAAUUCAGUGAAUCAUCGAAUCUUUGAACGCACCUUGCGCUCCUUGGUAUUCCUUGGAGCAUGCCUGUUUGAGUAUCAUGAAAUCUUCAAAGUAAAUCUUUUGUUAACUCAAUUGGUUUCUACUUUGGUAUUGGAGGUCUUUGCAGCUUCACACCUGCUCCUCUUUGUUCAUUAGCUGGAUCUCAGUGUUAUGCUUGGUUCCACUCGGCGUGAUAAGUUAUCUAUCGCUGAGGACACUGUAAAAGGUGGCCAAGGUAAAUGCAGAUGAACCGCUUCUAAUAGUCCAUUGACUUGGACAAUACUUUUAUGAUCUGAUCUCAAAUCAGGUAGGACUACCCGCUGAACCUAAGC